GUGUUCUCUUUGGAAGCACAUAUGCUAAAAUGGGAAUGAUACAGAAAAGAUGAGCAAAGCCCUUGAGUGAGGGUGAGUUGUUUAGCUUUGCAACUGAAACAAUUAUA